GGUGAGGUCGCAUAGUGGUCUAGUGCGCACGCUUGGAAAGCGUGUGGCGUCGCAAGGCGCCCGAGGGUUCGAAUCCCUCCCUCACCGCCA
rnacentral:tRNA from 1 species